rnacentral:rRNA from 1 species
UUUUGCAAUGCCCGCAAGGGUGACAAUGCGACGCCGCGUGAGCGAUGAAGGCCUUCGGGUUGUAAAGCUCUGUCAGCUCGGAUGAAUGUAAUAAGGUUAAUACCCUUAUUACUUGACGGUACGAGCAGAGGAAGCCACGGCUAACUCCGUGCCAGCAGCCGCGGUAAUACGGAGGUGGCAAGCGUUGUUCGGAUUUACUGGGUGUAAAGGUCAUGUAGGCGGCUUGACAAGUUAAGGGUGAAAUCCCGGGGCUUAACCCCGGAACUGCUCUUAAAACUGUCAGGCUAGAGGUGGUCAGAGGCGGGUGGAAUUCCAGGUGUAGAGGUGAAAUUCGUAGAUAUCUGGAGGAACACCGGAGGCGAAGGCGGCCCGCUGGGGCCAUUCUGACGCUGAGGCGCGAAAGCGUGGGGAGCGAACGGGAUUAGAUACCGUGUAGUC